AGUGAACGCUGGCGGUAGGCCUAACACAUGCAAGUCGAACGGCAGCACAGUAAGCGCUUGCUCUUACGGGUGGCGAGUGGCGGACGGGUGAGGAAUACAUCGGAAUCUACUUUUUCGUGGGGGAUAACGUAGGGAAACUUACGCUAAUACCGCAUACGACCUACGGGUGAAAGCAGGGGAUCAUCGGACCUUGCGUGAUUGAUUGAGCCGAUGGCGGAUUAGCUAGUUGGGGGGGUAAAGGCCCACCAAGGCGACGAUCCGUAGCUGGUCUGAGAGGAGGAUCAGCCACACUGGAACUGAGACACGGUCCAGACUCCUACGGGAGGCAGCAGUGGGGAAUAUUGGGCAAUGGGCGCAAGCCUGACCCAGCCAUACCGCGUGAGUGAAGAAGGCCUUCGGGUUGUAAAGCCCUUUUGUUGGGAAAGAAAAGCAGCGGGUUAAUACCCCGCUGUUCUGACGGUACCCAAAGAAUAAGCACCGGCUAACUUCGUG
rnacentral:rRNA from 1 species